UCAUGCCAAAAGCGCGUGUACUGCACAGCCUCAUCCCUUAUCUUAUCUGCUCUCUUCACUCGUCUCUCUCUUUACUCUUUAGUCUAGACUAGAUCUUCUCUGCAGAACUUCAGAGGUUAAUUCAUGCCAAACUUCAGAGAUUAAUCUGCUCAGCCAAAAACCUCUUUAGUCUAUUAAUUCUUUGAUCGAAGCACGUACUAAUCUGGGGUUUAGGUCAUCUUUCUUUUAUGAUACUGCAGCUGCUUUGCUAAUCACGAUAAGUCAGGACUUCUAUGUCACGGCUCACCUGUAGCUAAAAAUCAUGCAAAGGUGGUGCUAGACCGCAUACUAUUGCCAGCUGAAUUGACCAUAAAAGCUAACAAGUUUGUGAAGAACUUUCAAGAUGUUGGAGUUGGAGGAUUUGUGGUUCACCCAAAAAUCUGCAUCUGAUAUGAUUAGAAGGGUCUAUCUGUCUUUUUGGUGAAUUCUUCGUGGAUAUCUCACCCAUCAUCAUAUGACUUUUAUCUUUUUUGUUAAUAUCUCAGCAUCAUCCUAUGUCUCAGCAUCAUCCUAUGACUUUCAUUUUUUUGCUAACACUUUUGUAUGUAUGUUUAAGACGCUGAUGUGUACUCAUAUGAUGUCUUGCAUAGGUAAACUCCGAUGCAAUUGUGCUUAAGGGAGAUUCUUAUGCAAUUGUGCAUAAGAAAGUCUUAAUUUUAAUCGCAAAAGACUUUGAAUGUUGAUAUAUCUUUGUAUAUGGGUACGGUUUUUGUUGGUGUAUAUAUGUUUGUAGUUGUGCAGGUGGCUGCAGUUAAGGUUUGCUGAAGCAAUAGUAGCCACCCGGGGAAUAUCAAUCCCUGGAUUAUGUUGAUAACAAUCUCAGCGCCAAAGAGGAGCUGCAAAUGGAAUUUCAUCAACUGCAAUGUCUCUAUUCAGAAUAUUCGUUCCAGCUGGUGAUGGUUCCAUGUAAGUACAAUGUUGUUCGCAUUUCCAACAUCGUAUGACUAGUUUACACUUAUUAUUGUAGUCCAUUUGCCAAUGCCAGCCAAUGCAAUUUCUGCAUUUGUAUUACUGCAACUUCUAUUUUUCAAUCCCAAUUUCAAAGUGAAGCUGUUGUUGCAUGUGAAUUGUCCUAGGCUUCUUCUCCUAUAAUACUGCACAUUGUUACAGGUACCUCUAGUUUCACUUGCUCUUGUGCUAAUGGUGUUCAAACUUUCAAGGCUUUUGUGUCAUGUGUGUAUGUUAAAGCACUUCCUUUUCAAGUUUUGCAAGGAUAUAAAUAAAAGUUUUAUUCGUUCAUAAACAUUAAA